GCCAGCCGAGCCACAAGAGAAGCCCAUUAACCAUUAUAAAACCCCCCCUAAGUGGGCCGACUAACAUAAGAUUUUUUUAAGUUACCUUAUGUAGCACUAUAUUUUUUCUAAUUUCCUAUUUGUACUACAAAGUAAUGAGAUUCAUUUCAAUAGUCUGUUGAGAGAAAGAAAUACAAUAAUCACUCAUAAUCUAACCAUUUAACUGUUGGCAAUUUUGUCUCAAGUUAUUUUCUGCCCUAGAUCUUCAAACCAUUUCAUAAGUUUUGCCCUGCUUUAGCCUCAAAACAGGGUUCAGGAGUUCGCUGGUGGCCUAGUGGUUAGGAUUCCGGGCUUUCACUGCCUUGGCCUGGGUUUAGUGCCUGGUUGGGGAAUUGAGAUUCUGUGACAUGGCCACACAAAAAAUAGAAUUAUGCCUUCUGGAAUUCCCUGCUGGUGCAGUGGUUAGGAUUCUUCACUUACACUGCCAAGGGAAUGGGUUCAAGCCCUGGUUGGGGAACUAAUAUCCCGCAAGCCAUGCAGUACAGGCAAAAAUGAAUAAACCAAAGAGAAAAACAAACAACACCCCCCACCCCCCAACACACACACACACCAAACCAAAACAGAGUUCGGAACAGGCUAGGGAGAUGUUCUUGUUUCCAUAAUCCAGGCCUGGAGUCCACAUCUGACUGCUUGGCUGGCAGCUUCUCCAGACACAAGUUGACGUUGUCACGUGAGGGACACCUGUACAUUGGGAACAAUUAGCACAGUUCACGCAGCUGAAAGCCCGCACACGUCUGCUGCCUUCUUGGACUAUGCUAUGGACGUGACCUGGGUGUCAGACUGACCAUCAAUAAGUGAGGCGGGGCUGAGCUGUACCCUGGUUAAUGAACUAGCGAUUCAGCGAGAGGAGGAGCUGACAGAGACCCCGGGAGACUCCUGGAGAAGAGUGGUCGGUGAAGACCUCGAGGAACUGAGAAGCAGCAGGGGGUCCAGCAUGAGUGGGACGCCUGGACUCCCGUCCUGCCGCUGAGUUUCACUGCGUCUCAGGGAGCUGCCACCUCCGUCUCCUUGACUGUUAUUAUAUGUGGGUGCUUCACCAAACGGGCUCCACGGUUUAUUUUUGCCUCAACAUCUUUCUCAUUCUGUGCAAUGCUUUAUUCCUUUGUUCACUUACUUGCAUAGCAUCUAUUUACAAAUAUUUAUAAAUAUAAUAUUUAUAAGGCACUUAGGUGGUGAGCACCAAGUAGACAUGGGCUGAGAGAUGAGGAGGGAGAUGCAGAAAUAAACAAUGAAUCACUGCAGCCUUUGAACCCACUUUGAUGAGUGGAGGAAGAGGACGGAAGAUCGACAUCCACAUGGAAAACAAAUACUGGGCAAGAUGAGGUUGAUGGCUCUCGAGGUAAGUCCCAAGCACAGUCCCGACUAGAUGGUGCACUCCUCAGGAGCCUGGGAAACCGAGCCCAUGCCAAGGGAAAGCUGGGAGAUAGAGCAUGGUUCCUGAAUAGGUAAGAGGGCUCAGUGGGAUUCUCUUGAGCAUUGACUGCUGUUUGAGGAGAGCAUGGAGCCCCUCUCACCUGCCCGCUGCAGACAUGAAGAGUGGAUGCAUCCUGUGUCUAGGUAUCUUGGGUCGAGUGGAGAACCCACAUGGAGGUGUUUCAGCUAUUGGCCCUGUCCAUCAAAUAGGCCAGCAGCAGUCUCUGAGACUGGCUGCCCCACGGGGGCUCGUGGUCCCCCACAGCCCUGGCAUGGUGUCAGUGCAGCCUGACCUGCAGCUGAGCACACGGCUUCUCUACAGCUCAGCUCAGUUCCAUGCCUGGUGAUCACAGAGCCCACAGGCCAAACAGCUCAUGCAAAUGUCCAACAGAGCUUGUAAACAAAACCAAAACUGUGAAAGGAAAUGAAAGAAAUUCUGAGUCGUGUAGUCUCCCGUGCAGCCUGAAGAACCUCGCUGCCGUGGGUGACAGUGGGCCAUGCAGCGCCCACUCCUGGGCUCUGAAUGCCAGGAGUGCAGGGUACAUUCACCUCAGUGCUCUUUGCAUCAGACCAGAGAGCGGAAAGUUUCCCCUCGAUCUGUGCAAGCAGCCCCGAAGAGGGGCAACUAGGGUGUGAGUGAAAUCCUACAAUGUCAGUGAAGAUGACAACAACAUGGAUUCCACUUAUACGAGGUACCUGGAGUAGUGGAAUUCAUAGAGUCAGAAACUGCACUGGUAAAUGCCGGAAGUGGGGUGUGCGGGAGAUAGAGGGAAAAUGGGGAGUCUGUGUUUAAUGGGGCCAUAGUUUCAGUUUAAGAAAGUGAAAAAUUCAGGAGAUGGAUGACAGUGAGAGCUUCCCAACAAUGGGAAUGUACUUAGUGCCUCUGAACUAUACAGUUAAAUAUGGUUAAAAUAGUAUGUUUUAUAUUAUAUGACUUUUACUGCAAUAAAAAGAAUUUAAAAAAAGAAAAUGACAACAGCACCACUAAGCGUAUUGCUUGCUGUGUGCCAGGCAGUGUAUUAAGCACUUAAUGUACUAUCUUACUUUGUUCUCAAUCCUAUGAGGUAGGGCUGUUGUCCUUGUUUUUAGUGAUGGGAAGAGUGAGACCUGGAGAAUUUAAGCAAACAGCACAAUAAUUAAAAUCCAGACGGAGUAAAACUCCUAAAGACACCUUCCUAACUAUUACUCCGUAUUGCGCUUCUCAUGACUCUGUUUUACCACACGUGAAAAAUUAAGUCAUGGAACACACACGUUGGAACAUCUUUCCCUUCCUAUGGCUUGAGUUUUGUUCUGAGUUUUGGGUGUUUCCGAAACAUUUCUGUUGGAUGUGUUUUUUUUUUUUUAAUAUUGUAAGCCUCCGCAAAUCCUUGAUGGAAGCAGGCACACCAUAAAGCACAAUUAAAUAAAAAGGCGGCAGAACACACACAGCGAUCAUGGAAAUGGCUCCGAUCUCCGUCUGGCGUGGGGGCUGUGGGCGUUGUCUUUGUGACUGGCAGACAGAAGGUUGUCUGAACUUGGUUAUGAGAGCCAGCAGAGUGAGCUUGAGGAGAAAGAUAAACAUACAACAACUGUUCAAAGCUUCAGGUGUUAUGAUUGCUAAUUGGGAAAGACUACAUGAUACCUGCUGGUGUGUAGGAAUUUCACUCCCAGGGAUAAGUGGCUCAGGGAACUCUGGGACUCUGCUGCUUCAGAUUUUCCUGUAAUGAGAAUUCAUGGCAAUUGUAGUGUGCUUGCUCAUCCGGACUGGGCGUGCCUCAGAGUUGUAACCCAGGGCAGCUAAAGCUGCUUUAUCUCUAAACAUCUUCAGGUGGACUCUUCAUACAAGCAACCUCUCUCUCUCACUCUUUCUCUCUCUCUCUCACACACACACAGUCUCAGACAUUUCACACACAACCUACAUUCUCACGUGCCCCCAGACACAUACACCCUUGAACAUGUUCUGGCUGAUGACACGCUUGCUGCCUAUGUGCAAAAACACACACCAGCUCACGUAACACUCACACAUCCACACAUUCCCAUGCACUCAUACUUUCCCUUUCUCUUUCUCUCACGCACACACACUCAGUCUCUCUCUCACCUGCACAAAAUGCUUCUGGCAGAGCACCUGCAGCUGUACUAACCUGCCCGCCUUUGUUCCAGGCCUGGCCCGGCGGCAUUUUCCCAGGCCCAGGCUUCCUUUAGCCACUGCCUCCUGGUUUCCCUCUGAGCCUGGUCACUGGGCCCUGACUCAACGCCUGUAUGUACGUGGGCCUGGGGGCCGCUCACCGAAGACGGGCUGAGAUGAAGGGCGGGAGCCUGGGGCUGGCCCCGCCCAGCCGCGUCCCCCUCCCCCGACAUUGUGGCCCCCUUCUGGUUUCGUCCUGUUGUGCAGAAGUGCGCUGCGGUGGGCCAGGCUCUGGGAAACGCCCGGCCUAGGUCCAGCCGGGUGAGCCGCUCUAUUGCAGGUACGUGUCAGGAGUCGUGCAGCGUCCCAGCCCCUGCUGGAUGUGAACAUGCUGUCCCGACAGCGUUGUUACCAGUUGUAAGAUGCCUCUCCUACUGACUCCUCAUUCCUACUGGCAACCUUUACUUCCAAGUGAGUCAGCUUUGUGUCCUUAUUGCUCCAAAAUUUUUUUUAAAAACUAAAGAGGUGCCAAGA